rnacentral:rRNA from 1 species
GAUGAACGCUGGCGGCGUGCUUAACACAUGCAAGUCGAACGUGAGAGGGUAGCAAUAUCCUUGAAAGUGGCGCACGGGUGAGUAACACGUAGGUAACCUGCCCUGGAGCGGGGGAUAACAGUUGGAAACGGCUGCUAAUACCGCAUGAGACUGAUAAGCCGGGAGGCUUGUUGGUGAAAAUCUUGGUGCUUCAGGAGGGGCCUGCGGCCGAUUAGCUAGUUGGUGGGGUAAGAGCCUACCAAGGCGACGAUCGGUAGCUGGUCUGAGAGGACGGUCAGCCACACGGAAACUGAGACACGGUCCCGACUCCUACGGGGGGCAGCAGUGAGGAAUAUUGGGCAAUGGGCGGAAGCCUGACCCAGCAACGCCGCGUGGAGGAAGACGGCCUUCGGGUUGUAAACUCCUUUUACGGGGGAAGAGGAAGGACGGUACCCCGAGAAUAAGUCACGGCUAACUACGUGCCAGCAGCCGCCGCAGUAA